GGUGGCUCAGUGGUUGAGUGCUUGCCUUUUAUGCAUGAGGUCCUGGGUUUGAUUCCUCAGCACCA
rnacentral:tRNA from 1 species